rnacentral:rRNA from 1 species
UACAGAGGAGCCAAGCGUUGUCCGGAUUGACUGGGCGUAAAGCGCACGCAGGCGGAUGCGCGCGUGGGGUGUGAAAUCUGGCCGCUUAACGGCCAGGCGCCAUCCCAUACGGCGCGUCUGGAGUGAUGCAGAGGUCGGUGGAAUUGCCGGUGUAGUGGUGAAAUGCGCAGAUAUCAGGAGGAACACCGGUGGCGAAGGCGGGUCUCUGGGCCGAUACUGACGCUGAGGAGCGAAAGCGUGGGGAGCGAACAGG